AUGCUCUGGUUUCUCUCAUGAUACGAGCUAAUCUUUCGCCUUUUACUAAAGAUUACCGUGGAGAGGAACAUUACAAUGAGCCUAAAAUAAUUUUUGGUAUCCUCACUUGAUGGUGGGGU
rnacentral:snRNA from 1 species